GGGGUCCCAGUUCCGAACCCG
rnacentral:snRNA from 1 species